rnacentral:rRNA from 1 species
GUUUCGGCGGCCAUAGCGAGAGGGAAACGCCCGGUCACAUUCCGAACCCGGAAGCUAAGACUCUCUGCGCCGAUGGUACUGCAAGGGGGACCUUGUGGGAGAGUAGGACACCGCCGGACUU